CCCUUAGAUGUUCUGGGCCGCACGCGCGCUACACUGAUACGUUCAACAAGUUCCUUGGCCGAAAGGUCUGGGUAAUCUUUGAAACCGUAUCGUGAUGGGGAUAGAACAUUGCAAUUAUUGUUCUUCAACGAGGAAUGCCUAGUAAGCGCGAGUCAUCAACUCGCGUUGAUUACGUCCCUGCCCUUUGUACACACCGCCCGUCGCUCCUACCGAUUGAAUGGUCCGGUGAAGCGCUCGGACCGCGGCCUCUUGACGGUUCGCUGUCGAUUGGCUGUGGGAAGUUCGUUAAACCUUAUCAUUUAGAGGAAGGAGAAGUCGUAACA
rnacentral:rRNA from 1 species